CACCGCCGGAGUGGCCAUUGCGGUCGCCAUCGCAGUGAGUGCAGGGGCGCCUUAGGUGGGGUUGGCAGGGGCGUUAGCGAUCAGCGGAUGGCAGGUGGCAGGUGAUUGGUUUGUGGCUGGGCAGCCCGGCCAUCUUGUGCCAAAUGUUUUGGUUCUACCGUAUCCGAUUCCUUGUCCGCGGCCCCACUGCUUCCUUGUCUGAUUAAUCCUCCUGCCCUCCCCUCUCCCACCUGUUAUGUGUGCCCUGCAGCUGCACAACAUCCCGGAGGGCAUUGUGGUGGCCAUGCCCAUCUACUUCGCCACCGGCUCCAAGUGGAAGGGUGGGUAGAAGGGGGGGGGGGCGGGGGGGGGGCGCGGAAAGCAAGGACUGGGCGGCAAUGCUCACGCGGCAGCAGGUUCCGCAGCACACCAAGCACCGCAUUCCGUGUUUACCCUGCUCGCCUGGACCACCGGCGCAACCCCCCGCCGCCGUCAUUUGCCGCUGCUGCCGCCUGGUGCGCAGGCUUCCUGUGGUCUGUGGUUUGCGGCCUCUCUGAGCCGCUGGCCGGACUGCUGGUGAGUCAUCACGACAGUGACAGGACCAGCUUGGGCUUGAGCGCGUCGUGCGGCAUGAACUGGAGGGAGCUUUGAGGCCCGCCCGCAUCUGUGCCUGCGCCCUGAAGUUCUUCCUCCCGUGUGUACAUGCUCCGGGCCGCAGGGCUGGCUGAUCCUGCGCGGUCGCGACUCAGACCCCCUCAUGUGAGCGCAGUGCGGGCUGUAGGGGCUCGGACCUAGGGGAGCGGGACCGGGACUUUGGGCAAGGCUCUGGGCAAAAUAGUGAGCAUCUUAGGGUAUCGUGGCAGCUGUAGAGGAGCGGCAGCCGCUGUCCCCGCGAGCAGUCCCGCUGUCUAUCCGUCUGCUGCACACGGUGCCUUUCCCCCUAACCUAACCACACCUCCACCUCCACCUCCGCCCGCCUUCGCCGCCCCCCGCUUGCAGGUACGGCGUCAUGUUCGCGCUGGUUGCCGGCAUGAUGGUGUACAUUGCCGCGGUGGAGCUGCUGCCCACGGCCCUGCGCUACGACCCCGCCAACCGCUUCACCACCCGCGGCCUGGUGGUGGGCAUGGCGGUCAUGGCCGCCAGCCUGCUGCUGUUCAGCGCCACAUGAUAAGGACAGGAGGCAGAGGGCAGGAGGCAGGCGUUGGGGCGCGGAGCGAGGGUCCGGGGGGACGCUGAGGGUGAAGCAGGAGCACAACUGGGCUGGGGCGCGUGCGGUGUCAGGGUGCGCAGGACUGGAUGCGGAAGGGGUGCGGUGCAGGAGAGGGCAUGCUUGUGGGUCAAGUUCUUGAUGUCUGUCUUGCAGCAGUGAGCUGUUGGCCGUGGCGUGACUAGCUACGGGUCGCUUCACGGCGGCGCGUGCUCACCCAAACACAUGUUGCGCCUCAGCGCUAUAAGUAGCACACGCGUUCUGCAGCCAUGACUGCUGUGAUUGGGAGUGUGUGCUGCAGCGUGUGUGUGCAGAGUAUGGAGGAAAGGUUGAUCCUGUCUGUCGCGCCCGUACGUGUGUAAACGGACAUUCUACGUGGCCCUAAUACCGUGGGGGCAUGUCGCACCCGGGGGGCAACUGUAACUAACAACUGCUGCGUGUGAGAGGCACAUGCGAGGCACAGCCUCAGCCUGGGGCCGCAGGUGGCCGUCAUGGCCGUCAACCGUAAGUGCGUGCAUCGGUGCAUGUAGCUGAGGUGGCGUGCUCUGGUGGCAGGAAGCGGGGCCAGCCCGUGGCACGCGGAACAAACUAUUACAGUCCCAAGCCGGCUUCAUCAAUAGCAUGGAUGGCUUUAUUGGGUCCUUUAUUUAUCGCGCAUGGCAACCGCUCAAGCCGUGCCGGCCCAUGUGUUGCCAUGUCAGUCAGCGCACUCCGCCCUGCCGCCUCUGCCGUCUCGACCAAACUAGGGACAACUUGGCAACUCCUCUGCCGCGCAUCGGACCUCCUACCGCACCGCCUCAAUCAACGCAACGCAGCCACCAGCCCGGGACCCAUUCAUCCCCAGCCCAAGUAUACAAUUGUGUGUAUUGGUACACGAGCCUGGUAUCACCCAACACGCAACGCAGUCCUGCCGUGUCCGUGUGUAAUACCGCACGCGCGUAUACCAGGAAAGAAGGUCUGGGACAAACGCCCACCGCCAAGUCUUUCGCCAUGCGGUGGGCGCUCCUUGUCCAGCACCCAGCGGCGGCCACAACUCCUGUGCCCAACACCCCCUUGCUCACCAAUGACCCGAUGACCGAUGCCCAUGCGGCGCUAUUGGCACGCACGUGAGGCACGACAUCCACCUAAACGAAAUAAUAUGCUAUGCGACUCUCAAUGACCCGCCUUCUUCCGGCAGUGUUGGACCAGCUGGAUAUGGCUGGCCUGCAACAGGGAUUCCGUGCACCCACCACACCUCAACAAGGAGAGGUUCACACACACACAUCACACCGCAAACCACACACUACCUAUCACGUUCACCACGUGUAUGCAGGCGAACCUCUGCAGCACUGCAACAACUUGAUAAUUGCCUGCAGCCAUCUUGGUGCGCCUCUACACAACGAUACUAUCACCAUGCCCCAAUUCUUCCCCUGUGCAUCUCUGACCAAGCCAUGUCGAGCCCUUAACCGGCAUGCUCCAGAGGCUCCAUAGACUAGGUCCCGCAAAACCCGCACCAAACGGCUUCAUCCACCGACGUUUGCUUCUCAUCAAAACUGCCGUCCCUCCUCCAGGUGCAUUGCCGAUUUACACCUGCCGCUCGCGUAAUCCUUUCGGCACGAAACAAACAGAAGUUGAAAUACCAAAACCGCUCUUGUUCUCUUCUCUCCUUUUUCGGCUGGCAUGUUGCCGCGCAGCGUGCUGUGUUGCUGUGGUGUGCUGUGUUCAUGCGCAUUAGGUAGUCGUGCUACUACAACCAACCCGAAGAAAGGGAACGCCAGCCGCGGCCAAAAAUCGCAGGCACCAUGAUGCGACCGGCUCACCCGCUGCCGGAUGGGGGCGCGUUUAGAGGUGCUUGCCGAUCAGGUCGGUCAGCGCCUUGAUCUGAAGCAGGGGACGGGGGGUAGGGGAGGGCAGCGAGGGGGAGGGGAUGAGGCAACACGGGGAUCUGAGCUGAGGGCAGGACACAGUAGGGUAGUUGGUGUGCAGAAGGAUUGCUGGCACUGCAUUUAUGGGGAUUGGACAGCGCGCAGUCCCCGCUUUAGAGGCCAGACCCGCCCCUGCCCUGCGGCAUCACAAGAUCGAGCCUACAACAGGGCGACUGGCGGCCACACCUUGGCGCCUGUCAUGCUGUCAAUCUGCUUGCUGUUGCGGUAGAGGUGGAAGGUGGGCAGCGCCUUGAUGUUUAGGGCCAUGGCCAGCUUCUUGGACUCGUUGGUGGCACCUGAGAGCAGUAGCCGGGCACGGGGAGAAGCGCGAGCUGCUUUGUAGCAGCAGGAUGGCAUGUGUGUGUGUAGCCGCCCAAGCAACGGCAGGCACCCACGUCUAGGGCUAGAUGUUCCUCAAGCUUAGCACGCUCCCGCCGUGGACUCACCGCAGUCCAUCUUGGCAAACACAACCUGGCUUGCGUCCAUCUCAUUAGCCAGGCGCUCGAUCUCCGGCGCAAUGACCUUACAGGGGCCGCACCUGAAUGCAGGAGACAGGUUGAGCAGCAGAGCGGGCUGCGUCGACUCCUAUUCUUGCAGCCGAUGCUACUUUCUCGCGCGCGCCGAUGUAACGCCCCCGCACUAUACAACAUGGCAAACCCUUUUGUUGCAAUCGUCACGAGUGGUGCUCACCAGACGGCAUAGAAGUCCGUAACCACAAGCUUCUCAGCAUUCUUCUCCAGGAAGCCGUGGUACGUGUCGGCGGUGAGGAUGUGCACCCCGUUUGCGAUCGCGACCUCGCCGACUGCCUGCUCAGUCGCUGUCACCGCCGACGCGGUUGCGGCGCUGGACAGCGGCGCAGCGAGGCGCUUACGAGGCACGGCCACAGCCACGGGCCGCAGCGCAGCGCGGGCAGCGCGCCCUGCAAAACAGAAAGCCGAACGAACGACACAUGCGUGAGUCCGCGACCAAGGUCCGCCCUUUUGCAAAAACGACCCAGUAACCAUUAGAGGUUACAACCAAGUACCCAUGGAAGUCCUCGUUUCAGCGCGCGCCGCAAAGCUCGGCCUCCCAGGCGCCAUUCGCUCUUGGCGCGUGUUUGGGCGCACUCCCUUGCGCACUUCACGCAUCCAGACGCAUUGUGCUCACCUGAGCGGAGAGCGCCAGCAGAAGGGGAUGCGCGGACGCAAGGAGUUGCCAUGGCGCUCAAUAUGGGCAAGAAGGAAGAAACGAAGGCGAGCGGUGGGCUGCCUGCCUCGACGUAAGUGCAAGCGGGUGAGGUUGUAAGCACGGUGCUGAUUGCAGCAAUUCUGGCGGCCUUGACAUCAAAAAGGUCGGAUGCUGACAUCGGACAAGUCACCGAAACAGAUCCAAACGACCCCAAUCCGGGCUGUCGCAAGUCCAGUCCAAAGAAGCAGAAGCUGUGUCGCUCUCAUUCACGCUAUCGACAAUCUCUGUGGGACAAGUUAGCGACCCUUCGUCGACCCUUAUGUGACCGACUGUGCCGCCCGCAACUUGCAGGACAUGCAAAACUUGCAGGACAUGCAAAAUAUUGCCUUGACGGGCGAACGAAAAGGGUUCGGGGAUGUAAGGUCAGCGUGAAGGUCACUGUACCGCAUACCCACGCCGGCGCCUGCAGACUGCCAACCUUUGUAUUCCUAUCUAGAGCUCAAAGCACAAAGCAUAAUGGUGAACUGCUGACGCUACCUCAGCGGCGGUGGUGUGCAGACAUGUGCUUACAGGUUGACCAUGGUCCAUACAGUAGUGGAGCACUCUUGCAUUGCAUUCACGCUAGCUUACAUUUCUCAGUAUCUUCGAUAACAGCAUGGCGGGGACACUUUCCCCUGGUCUUGCACGCUUUUCUUCGGCCCAACGGCGCGCGGGCGUGGCGGCAGCGGGACGGACAGCAGCCCGUCGCGCGGGCGCGGGGGCAGCCGAGCGCGCGGGCGUGGCGGCAGGCGGGCGCACAGCAGCCCGUCGCACGGGCGCGCGGGCAGCCGAGCGCGCGGGCGUGGCGGCAGGCGGGCACACAGCAGCCCAUCGCGCGGGCGCGCGGGCAGCCAAGCGCGCGGGCGUGGCGGCAGGCGGGCACACAGCAGCGGAGGGAGCAGCAACGAAGACGGUGACCAGCGUGGGCCCCGUGGCGGGCCGGGCCGGGCACCCGGGGACAACCCAGUGCCGGGCGUGGUCGCGGCCGGCGAUCCGCUGGCUGUCUUUGAGCUGGCAACCCUAGCACCAUGCGCAUCGUGGGCGUUGAUCCCGGCGUAGGCAACUACCUGGUGGCCUGUGUCGGGUCAAUGCCAGGCUUCUCACCGCACAGCUACAGUGGCCGGCCACGAGCCGCGCACAUCUGGCGUGGCCCAGAUGGCCAGGCUCCUGGGCCUGCCCAGCCCCCACUGCAGCGACGGCGGAAGCGGCAGCAGCGGCGGCAGCAGCGACAGCAGCGACGGCGUCGGGGGGCGGGAGGUGGAAGGGCAAGAGGCGAGAGUGGCGGGGCACGCGCCAGCACACGCAUCAGCGUGCCGCAACAGAACGGCGCCGCCAGCAGCGCGCCUGCUUUACCCGGCUGUCUGGCGCUGGCUACCGCCACUGCACAGUCCAGACAGGCCGUCGGCUGUGGCUGCAGGCAUGGCUAGCGGAGCAGCCGGCAUUCAAGCGCUGUCAGGCGGGGAUACCCAGCGCGCGGGUGGCGUCGGCAGCUGAGCAUGAGCUGCGAAUACGCCAUCUCUACUCUGGAGGUGGCGUGGACGCGGCGGCGGCUGCCGGGUCUGCGCCUGCGCCAGUGCAACAGUACCGUGAUCUGCUUUCGACAUUUUCUUCGGUUCGCUCGGAUGGAGUCUCGACAGGACGACAACCCAACUUUGACUCUGCCUAACUUUAGCCAUGCAACUGGUACUACCUCAGUUAUCUACUACCGGGGUGCUAGAAGUUCGGUGCUAUUCCGCUCACUUGCUGUGUAGCAGUCGUACCUAACGGUUUGCUGCAGCUUUUGCUAUCCCGCCUGUGUCCUGUCAGUUCGUCCCAGAUCCAUUCCCCAUCCGGAACGUGGGGUGAGAUUCGGAUGCACGUCUUCUCUCAAAAUUUACAAACGUUGACAAGUCCCAGCGCAGCUAGCCGCUCCUGCGCCUGUCGGGACCUUGCCUGCUGCACGGCCAGACCGCACACAAAACCCACCGCUCCCAAACAACUCAAGCUCCACCAGACCACACAAGACGACCCAAAUAAACCGCUCAGACCUGCAUCCCUAUUGGUACAUCAAAACUGUGCCGCCAGGGCAUUUACUGGGGGGUGAACUUGGUGGCGUAGGCGAAGGCGUUGUUGGUGCCGGGGUUGGCCAGGUGGUCGGACCUGUGGAGCGGGCACGAGGAGCAUAACAUCACCGGGUAAACUAAGAUGGGAGUGCAAGUAUCAACUCGAAUUAAUGUUUAAUCCGCGUAGGUUAGCGCGGCUGGGCAUUUAUGGCAAGCAGCGUGCUGCACACACCGCGACUCAUGUUAUGUCACCCUAGGCCCCCAUCCCUACUCACAGGUUCUGCAGGGGGCCCUUGCCGGUCACGAUGGCCUGAACGAAGAAGCCGAACAUGGAGAACAUGGCCAGGCGGCCGUUCUUGAUCUCCUUCACCUUCAGCUCAGCGAAGGUGUCGGGGUCGUCAGCCAGGCCCAGGGGGUCGAACGAGCCACCGGGGUACAGCUUGUCCUGCAACGCGGAGGGAGCAAGGGUGGGCAAUGAUGCCAUGCACAACGUCCACGAACCGUGCAUUGCUACUGACGCAACCAGACAACACAAACCGAAACUGUCCCAUGUGUUUUGAGGGAAGCUUCCCUUCACAGCGAACCGCACUCACCAGGCCCUCGCCCAGGGGGCCGCCGUUGACGCGGUAGCCCUCAAUGGCGCCCAUCAGCAGCACCUGGGUGCCCAGGAUGGCCAGGAUGGACUGGGCGUGCACCAGGUUGGGGUUGCCCAGGUAGUCCAGACCGCCCUCCUGGAAGAUCUGAGCACCAGCCUUGAACCACACGGCCUCGCCGAAGGGCACGCCGUAGGAGCCCAGCAGCUCGGGGAAGAUGCAGCCCAG
rnacentral:lncRNA from 1 species